CAGUUGUCGGCUAUUCCCACUGUGGCUCCCAAGACCAAGAGGCCCUACUCCUGCUGUCCUGACAGAUGUGUGGAGUGGUUCCUAGGCUUGGAACCCUGGUCAUAAACCCAGAAAGGCUACCGAGGACAGGGAGAGGCCUGUGGGUAUCUUGAAAAAUGAAACUGAAGCAUCUUCCCCUAAGGAAGCUGUGAACACUAGACAAGCCUGUCUGUGGAGGGAGCAGGCUCUGGACCAGGACAGGACCUGGCUUCAUCACCAAAGUGUAAAUCUUUAAGGAACAUGGCCGUUUGACCCAUCCAGAGCCAAUCCCAGCACCCAGUGCCCGGGCUCAGCACAUGCUCAUUGGGCAUUUGUUCUCAGGCUGACAGCCUGUCUUGUGACAGACAGAGCCUUCCCCACUCCCAUCCCCAACAGGGAAUCUGUUGACAUCGCCAGAAUGACUUCUUUUUAUAAUCUACCGAGUCCAGUCACAUGGGCUGCUAUCCCACAGCUCUUCUGUCACCACAGGUCCCACACCUCCUCCCUCGUUCCUGUUCUCUGCUUCCAAAUGGUGCCAACAGGUAACCCACACCUAGAAAGGGUGUGCUGUUGAUGCCAGGACCCACUGCUGACACCCUCGGCAAGAGCAAUAAAUGCACUUAACCACUAA